rnacentral:rRNA from 1 species
GCCAUGCAUGUGCCAGUUCAUACAUUUAAAUGUGAGACUGCGGACGGCUCAGUAUAUCAGUUAUAAUCUAUUCGAAAAUAACCCCAUUGGAUAACCGUGGGAAAUCUAGAGCUAAUACAUAUGCAAAAGGCGGCGUGGCAACACGUUGUCGGCAUUUAUUAGAAAAAACCAAAUGCCGCCUUGUUGGCAACAGCCGGGCGGUAGGGUGAAUCUAGAUAACUGAGCAAAUCGCAUGGCCUUGAGCCGGCGAUGUUUCGAUUGAAUUUCUGCCCUAUCAACUCGUUGGUAAGGUAGUGGCUUACCAAGGUUGCAACGGGUAACGGGGAAUCAGGGUUCGAUUCCGGAGAGGGAGCCUGAGAAACGGCUACCACAUCCAAGGAAGGCAGCAGGCGCGCAAAUUACCCAAUCCAGACCAUGGGAGGUAGUCACCAGAAGUACUGGGUAGAAGACAAAGUCUUUUAACCCGGAAUGAGCAUAAUGUAAAUAUUUAGUCGAGUAACAACUGGAGGGCAAGUCUGGUGCCAGCAGCCGCGGUAAUUCCAGCUCCAGUAGCAUGUCGUAAAGUUGUUGCGUUUAAAACGCUCGUAGUUGGAUCAUACGGUGCCGAGCAGUUGGCCCGUCUCCAGCUGCAAAAAAUCCCAAAUCCGGUAGUUACCUCUGGUUAAUUCCACGUAGCUCCCGGGUUUGUGGAGUAGUAGGGGACUGGCUAUUGGCUGCCCGGCACUACUUGCACGUGAGAAUGGAGAUUAGCCUUAAAUGAGCCGAUCUUUGUGUCUCACGGAGUGUGCCUUGAAUAAAUCAGAGUGCUUAAAGCAGGCUUUUGCUUGAAUGAUACAGCAUGGAACGAACAAACGUGUAACGUGUCCGGGCGAUUGUUAGUUUCUAGCAGUCGUCCGGGCAUAUCACCAACCACCAAAACGGAUGUUGGUUUCCGUAUUGGGGUGAUGAUUAAAACGAGCGGUUGGGGGCAUUGGUAUUUGGCAGCGAGAGGUGAAAUUCUUAGACCGGCCAAGGACUAACAAAAGCGAAGGCAUUUGCCAAGACCGUCUCGAUUGAUCAAGAACGAUAGUGAGAGGUUCGAAGACGAUCAGAUACCGUCCUAGUUCUCACCGUAAACUAUGCCGACCCGGGAUCAGUUUAGAGCUAAUACAAACGCUCGAGGUUGGUCCCCCUGGGAAACCUAAAGUUUUUGGGUUACGGGGGGAGUAUGGUCGCAAGGCUGAAACUUAAAGGAAUUGACGGAAGGGCACCACCAGGGGUGGAGCCUGCGGCUUAAUUUGACUCAACACGGGAAAACUCACCAGUUCCGGACGUCAAAAGGAUAGACAGACUGAUAGAUCUUUCUUGAUAUGAUGUGUGGUGGUGCAUGGCCGUUCUUAGUUCGUGAUGUGAAUUGUCAGGUUGAUUCCGGUAACGGACGAGAUCAUAAUCUCCAUUUACGAUGUAGUACGGAGGGCGGCAACGCUCUCUCAAGCGCUAGAAUCCGACUGAAGAUCAUUCGGAGGUUGGAUUUUGGUGUUUUCAUACUAUAAUGCCACUUGUAGCAAUACAGGUGGUUGCAUGGAGAGACAACUGACUAUAAUUAUAAAAUCAGAGGAAGUAUGGCAAUAACAGGUCUGUGAUGCCCUUAGACGUACUGGGCUGCACGCGCGCUACAAUGAUGACGACAAUGAGUUAUCUGGUCCGAAAGGAUUGGGAAAUCUGUCAAUCGUCAUCGUGAUGGGGAUUGUUCGUUGUAAUUCGGACAUGAAAUAGGAAUCCCUUGUACGUGCACUUCAUCUAAAGUGCAUGGAAUGGGUCCCUGCCCUUUGUACACACCGCCCGUCGCUACUACCGAGUGAAUGGUGUCAUGAUGCGUUGGGACUGGACGCCGUUCGGGUUCACGCUUGAAUGGUGCUGGGAUCAAUGUAAAAUGGCGCAAUUCGA